UGGGGAAUAUUGGACAAUGGGGGCAACCCUGAUCCAGUCAUGCCGCGUGUGUGAAGAAGGCCCUCGGGUUGUAAAGCACUUUCAGCGAGGAAGAACGCCUAGCGGUUAAUACCCGCUAGGAAAGACAUCACUCGCAGAAGAAGCACCGGCUAACUCCGUGCCAGCAGCCGCGGUAAUACGGAGGGUGCAAGCGUUAAUCGGAAUUACUGGGCGUAAAGCGCGCGUAGGUGGCUUGAUAAGCCGGUUGUGAAAGCCCCGGGCUCAACCUGGGAACGGCAUCCGGAACUGUCAAGCUAGAGUGCAGGAGAGGAAGGUAGAAUUCCCGGUGUAGCGGUGAAAUGCGUAGAGAUCGGGAGGAAUACCAGUGGCGAAGGCGGCCUUCUGGACUGACACUGACACUGAGGUGCGAAAGCGUGGGUAGCAAACAGGAUUAGAUACCCCCGUAGUCCCUGAGCGGGCUGGCAAGGCGCAU
rnacentral:rRNA from 1 species